UACGUAGGGGGCAAGCGUUGUCCGGAAUUAUUGGGCGUAAAGCGCGCGCAGGCGGUUCCUUAAGUCUGAUGUGAAAGCCCACGGCUCAACCGUGGAGGGUCAUUGGAAACUGGGGAACUUGAGGACAGAAGAGGAGAGUGGAAUUCCACGUGUAGCGGUGAAAUGCGUAGAUAUGUGGAGGAACACCAGUGGCGAAGGCGACUCUCUGGUCUGUCUCUGACGCUGAGGUGCGAAAGCGUGGGUAGCAAAC
rnacentral:rRNA from 1 species